rnacentral:rRNA from 1 species
UACGUAGGGCGCAAGCGUUAUCCGGAAUUAUUGGGCGUAAAGAGCUCGUAGGCGGUUUGUCGCGUCUGCCGUGAAAGUCCGGGGCUCAACUCCGGAUCUGCGGUGGGUACGGGCAGACUAGAGUGAUGUAGGGGAGACUGGAAUUCCUGGUGUAGCGGUGAAAUGCGCAGAUAUCGGGAAGAACACCCAUGGCGAAGGCGGCUCUCUGGGACGGUACUGACGCUGAGACGCGAAAGCGUGGGGAGCGAACAGG